rnacentral:rRNA from 1 species
GGAAUAUUGGACAAUGGGCGCAAGCCUGAUCCAGCCAUGCCGCGUGAGUGAUGAAGGCCUUAGGGUUGUAAAGCUCUUUCGUCAGGGAAGAUAAUGACGGUACCUGAAGAAGAAGCCCCGGCUAACUUCGUGCCAGCAGCCGCGGUAAUACGAAGGGGGCUAGCGUUGCUCGGAAUCACUGGGCGUAAAGCGCACGUAGGCGGCUUUCUAAGUCAGGGGUGAAAUCCCGGGGCUCAACCCCGGAACUGCCUUUGAUACUGGAGAGCUUGAGUUCGGGAGAGGUGAGUGGAACUGCGAGUGUAGAGGUGAAAUUCGUAGAUAUUCGCAAGAACACCAGUGGCGAAGGCGGCUCACUGGCCCGAUACUGACGCUGAGGUGCGAAAGCGUGGGGAGCAAACA